UUUGCAUCAAUUAUGCAACAAACACCAGAUAAAUAAGAGAAUCCUGCAAAGUGGCAGCAAACAUUUGAGGCAUCACAACUCAAGAGGGAUAAUCAACCAGACUGGUGUUAAGAGACGUGACUUGACAACAUGAAGACUGUGAUCGUGGCCCUUUUGGUAGUGCUGGUCGUCAGCCACAGUGAAGCUUUAACGUGUAACUGUGGAGGCAAGGCCUCAUGUGCAUUCUCUCAGCAUAACUGCUAUGGUUUAAGCCAAGUUUGUGCCAGGAUGACGUUUAACCCCCCUGGUACCGGCUCCUUCAAGAGUUGCUAUAAUGCGAGAGCUUGUGCAAACCUGAUUAGUUCUGGGAAAGCGUCUGGUAGAUGCUGCCAAACUGACCUGUGCAACUGAUCAGUGAACGUCAUGCAGCACAUCUGCCAAUGAAUGAAUAAUAAGCUGCCAUUGUCCUAAUAAAGAUGAUUCAUUUGAAA